rnacentral:lncRNA from 1 species
CGGGAGAUGACGUGUGGCAGCUCACGUGACGGUUGACGUGUGAUGGGUUUACGCGGAGAAUAGGGCGGGGAGGGGCAAAAUUGGAAACUGUGAAUUGGCAUUGAGCUGUCAAACGCGACGCGCAUUCCAUUCCCCACUUAGGACACGUGGGGACCACCUCGUGCCGACACCACGCUCUGCGCCCAAUGAAAUGCAUCCUUACAAUUUCCAGCUGCUUUUUUUCCUUUUUAUUUUUUUCUUCUUCUUUUACAUUCUUUCUAGAAUAUAUAUUUGAAAAUUUGAACUCAACAAUUCCUCAUAUUUAACUUGAAAAUUUGAACUCAACAAUUCCUCAUAUUUAACACGAGCAUAUUAACAAUUACUACAUCUCAACUAUUUCAUUUAUAUUGAUCGAUGAUAUAGUACUGUGAUACUAUAAAUACUUCACGUGCUGCACUAUUUCAUUUUCUGGUGUGCCGUGAAUCAUAUAAGAUUCUCUAGAUUUUAACACCUAUAUGUAGUACUCCCACAGUUUUACAAAAGUGUGUAGGAGUAUUUAUUUUAGUGACAAGAGUUUUAAUAAAUUAUUCCCUCCGUCCCAAUAAUAUUGUCCCAUUUCUUUUAGGCACAUAGAUUAAGGAGAGUAAAAUUGGAGGAAUAAAGGUGAUGACCAAUCAAAUUAAGGACUUGAUUAGUACAACUAAAUCCAAUAAAUUAAUGAUAACAAUUAAAGCAAUAAGAAAAAACACAACGGAUUUAUGCAAAUUUGAACAACAAAUUUCAACAAAUCUUUAUCCUCUACAACAAAUUCUAACAAUUUCUUCAACAUAUUUCAACAACAGAAUAGAAAGAACAAAUUUCUACAAAAAAACAAGAACAGAAAAGGCAAUCUCACACCUCCCCAAUUUCAACACUACAUUUCUGUAGAUCUACCUCAAAUUUCUCAGAUCUGCAGAAAAGCCACUCUCCCAUUCAUCGUCGGAAGGUGGCUCAGUGAAGAAGAAGUGGCAUCGUUGUUGUUGGCUGCGGCGCUUGGGAGAAGGGAAAGGCGACGCGAAGGUAGGCUUCUCCUCACCAAUAGGUACCGAAGUCAAUCGAAAGAGUCGAUUUCGGAGCUGGAGGUGCGUUCAACUUCGCCCGUCCCGAACGCUCGUCCGUUGCUUGUUGAGGCAGCGCAUGGGGUUACCUGGGCAGACAAACGGCGGCGAAGCACGGCGGAUGGCGCGAUGGAAAGAGCAAAAUAGAGGGAGGAUUUUUAGUUUUUAAUUUUACAUAAAAGAGAAAUGAGAAUAGGAAAAAGAAAAGGAAUAAAGUUAGGGUUUUAACCUGCUACAGGCGGCGGCGGUGGCUCUGGCUCCGACCGUUCGGCCGGAGAAGAUGAAGCAGGAGGUAGAACAAGGGGCGUCGGCCGUGGUGUUGAGGAGGCGGCCGUCCAGUUUCUGGCAAAGAGAGAGAGUCCAGAGGGUAGGAGAGAGAGCUCACAAGUGAGAGGAUUAAUUAGGAGAGAGAGAGAGAGUAGGUUAAUAGGUAUAUAGAUGGAUUAAGUGAAUGCUAAACAUAUUCUAAUUACUACCAAAAGAGGAAAUGGGACAAUAUUAUUGGGAUAAACCAAAAAGGAAAGUGAGACAAGAUUAUUGGGACAGAGGGAGUAUUAAAUAAGUGUAUUGAAAAUUAAAAAAAUGAUUUAUUUUAUUACGUCCUCCAUCCUACAAAUCUUGACACGUUUGGUUUCGGCACGAGAAUUAAGGAGUUAUAGAUUAGUGUUUUAAGUGUGUAGUUAAUAAAGUAUAAAAGU